rnacentral:rRNA from 1 species
AGAGUUUGAUCCUGGCUCAGGACGAACGCUGGCGGCGUGCCUAAUACAUGCAAGUCGAACGCACUCUCGUUUAGAUUGAAGGAGCUUGCUCCUGAUUGAUAAACAUUUGAGUGAGUGGCGGACGGGUGAGUAACACGUGGGUAACCUGCCCUAAAGUGGGGGAUAACAUUUGGAAACAGAUGCUAAUACCGCAUAAAACCUAACACCGCAUGGUGUAGGGUUGAAAGAUGGUUUCGGCUAUCACUUUAGGAUGGACCCGCGGUGCAUUAGUUAGUUGGUGAGGUAAAGGCUCACCAAGACCGUGAUGCAUAGCCGACCUGAGAGGGUAAUCGGCCACACUGGGACUGAGACACGGCCCAGACUCCUACGGGAGGCAGCAGUAGGGAAUCUUCCACAAUGGACGAAAGUCUGAUGGAGCAACGCCGCGUGAGUGAAGAAGGUUUUCGGAUCGUAAAACUCUGUUGUUGGAGAAGAAUGUAUCUGAUAGUAACUGAUCAGGUAGUGACGGUAUCCAACCAGAAAGCCACGGCUAACUACGUGCCAGCAGCCGCGGUGAUACGUAGGUGGCAAGCGUUGUCCGGAUUUAUUGGGCGUAAAGCGAGCGCAGGCGGUUUCUUAAGUCUGAUGUGAAAGCCUUCGGCUCAACCGAAGAAGUGCAUCGGAAACUGGGAAACUUGAGUGCAGAAGAGGACAGUGGAACUCCAUGUGUAGCGGUGAAAUGCGUAGAUAUAUGGAAGAACACCAGUGGCGAAGGCGGCUGUCUGGUCUGUAACUGACGCUGAGGCUCGAAAGCAUGGGUAGCAAACAGGAUUAGAUACCCUGGUAGUCCAUGCCGUAAACGAUGAGU